UUGGCGUUGGAAUUUCCAAAAUAUCUGUUGUUACCAUGGAAACAAUGCAAAAAGGUCAAAACUUUGAAUUUUCACAGAACAUUCCAGAACAUCAAUGUUAAAUUUAUUCUAGAGACAUUAAAUGGUAUAUGAUGGUAUAUGAUUAUGGAGGGAAAAAAUUGCAGCGGGGGUUUGACUUUGGAAUAUUCAAAAUGGCCGCCGUUACCAUGGAAACAGCAAAAAUAUGAAAAACUUCAAAAUGCUUUAAAUUUAAUGAAACUUAUAACAAAUGUUGCCUAGCUUAUGUAGACUUGACUUUUGAGUUUGGAAUUUUCAAAA
rnacentral:lncRNA from 1 species